rnacentral:rRNA from 1 species
UACAGAGGGGGCGAGCGUUGUUCGGAAUUACUGGGCGUAAAGGGCGCGUAGGCGGCCUUCUAAGUCGAACGUGAAAUCCCCGGGCUCAACCCGGGAACUGCGUCCGAUACUGGGAGGCUUGAAUCCGGGAGAGGGAUGUGGAAUUUCAGGUGUAGCGGUGAAAUGCGUAGAUAUCUGAAGGAACAUCAGUGGCGAAAGCGACUUCCUGGACCAAUACUGACGCUCAUGUGCGAAAGCGUGGGGAGCAAACAGG